rnacentral:lncRNA from 1 species
CUUAGCUACGCUGGUCGGGGGGCAGGGGCUUCCUGGAGGAAGGGACAUUAACUCUCCCAACAGAGGCUAACAUUCACGGAGAGCUUACCGUGUGCCUGGCCUGACCCCACUGAAUCCUCCCUCAGGACAACCUGGGAGGAAGGGGUUGAUGUUAUCCCUGCUUUACAGAUGGGGAAACCUGGCUCAGAGAACUGGAGCGACUUGCCCCGGCUCACACAGCAGCUGAGGGCAGAGCGGGAAUAUGAACCCAGGAGGUCCAGCUUACUCACAGUCUGGGGAGCGGACUGGACGGGCUUAGAGAGGGCAGCAGAUGAGAAGACCAGGACCAUGGACACCAGGGAGGCGCAAGGGGUCUCCUGGAGCUCAUGGCGAGAGAAGGAGCUGUUGGUGCUGCUAGAAGGUGUGUCCAGGUGCAUAGGUGAGCAAGACCAGGUGUACAGCCCUGACCAAGCGACAGGUGACAAGGCUGCUCUUUAACCCCUUGCUGACAGCUCCUGCUCCCGGGGAAGGGAGGAGGAGAGGGAGGAGCCUCUGAGUUCUGUUUUGUGAGAGACAAGGGAAUCCCGCCGUUUGUGACAAGGAUGGGCGAGCUCCUCGAGGGCCGGGAGCGUGGGCCGUCUGUGCCGCCGCCUCCAAGCGCCGAUCGAGCCCUGGACAGCGUGUCCUGGCCAGUUGUUCUCUGCACUCGCCGUUCCAGUCCAGGCCCCGGGGCCCGGGAGCUGAUGCCUCCCCAGAGCAGCCCCCAGCCAGCGACGGUGCGAGUGGGGGACAAACGCCCACUCCCUGCCCUGCAGGGGAGAUGGCCCGAGGGUGUGUGGCCCUUCACCCCUGGUUCCCAGCGGGGCUUGAGCCUCAGGGCCCAGGUGGUGGCCGGCCUGGCAACACCUCCUCUGUCCCGGCAUCACCCCCGCCACACAACGCUUAUGGAUGCUGUUUACUGAGCACUUCCUGUGUGCCAGGCCCUGCGUAAAGGGCUUCGAGGGGCUUGCUGUCCUGGAGCCUUAGAGUGGCCCCAGAUUAUGGAUGAGGAAGGGAGCCAAGGUCACAGGGCUGCUGGGACCCAGACCCGGGUCUGAUGGCCUUAGCUAGUCGAGUGAAUGGGAGAGUGAAGCAAUGGGAGGGGACGGUCUCCAGGCCUGAGGGGGGGAGCAAACGACCGGCCUGGAUUCCUGCUGGCACAGGCCCUUUGGAGGGCUCUGGGGAAUGUGAUGGCGUGGGUGAUGGGCGCCUUUG